rnacentral:tRNA from 1 species
GCUGGAGUAGCUCAGUUGGUAGAGCAGCGGUUUUGUAAACCGCAGGUCGUGGGUUCGAGUCCCCUCUCCAGCUCCA